CCUACGGGAGGCAGCAGUGAGGAAUAUUGGUCAAUGGGCGUAAGCCUGAACCAGCCAAGUCGCGUGAGGGAUGAAGGUUCUAUGGAUCGUAAACCUCUUUUAUAAGGGAAUAAAGUGUGGGAAGUGUCCAGUUAUGUAUGUACCUUAUGAAUAAGGAUCGGAUAACUCUGUGCCAGGAGCCGCGGUAAUACGGAGGAUGCGGGCGUUAUGCGGAUUUAUUGGGGUUAAAGGGUGCGUAGGCGGAAUGCCAAGUCAGCGGGAAAAUCGCGGGGCUCAACCUCGCUCCGCCGUUGAUACUGGCGGUCUUGAGUGGGCGAGAAGUAUGCGGAAUGCGUGGUGUAGCGGUGAAAUGCAUAGAUAUCACGAAGAACUCCGAUUGCGAAGGCAGCAUACCGGCGCACAACUGACGCUGAAGCACGAAAGCGUGGGGAUCGAACAGGAUUAGAUACCCCAGUAGUC
rnacentral:rRNA from 1 species